rnacentral:rRNA from 1 species
GACGAACGCUGGCGGCGUGCUUAACACAUGCAAGUCGAACGAUGAAGCUGGAGCUUGCUCUAGCGGAUUAGUGGCGAACGGGUAAGUAACACGUGAGCAAUCUGCCCUUGACUCUGGGAUAACUGCGGGAAACUGUAGCUAAUACCGGAUACUUUCACCGGGGGGCAUCCUCUGGUGAUGAAAGAAUUUCGGUCAAGGAUGAGCUCGCGGCCUAUCAGCUUGUUGGUGAGGUAACGGCUCACCAAGGCGACGACGGGUAACCGGCCUGAGAGGGUGACCGGUCACACUGGGACUGAGACACGGCCCAGACUCCUACGGGAGGCAGCAGUGGGGAAUGUUGCACAAUGGGCGCAAGCCUGAUGCAGCAACGCCGCGUGAGGGAUGAAGGCCUUCGGGUUGUAAACCUCUUUUAGCAGGGAAGAAGCGAAAGUGACGGUACCUGCAGAAAAAGCACCGGCUAACUACGUGCCAGCAGCCGCCGUAA